GACGAACGCUGGCGGCGUGCCUAAUACAUGCAAGUCGAGCGAAUCUUUGGGAGCUUGCUCCCGAAGGUUAGCGGCGGACGGGUGAGUAACACGUGGGCAACCUGCCUGUAAGACUGGGAUAACUUCGGGAAACCGGAGCUAAUACCGGAUAAUUCUUUUCCUCUCAUGAGGGAAAGCUGAAAGAUGGCUUCUCGCUAUCACUUACAGAUGGGCCCGCGGCGCAUUAGCUAGUGGUGAGGUAACGGCUCACCAAGGCGACGAUGCGUAGCCGACCUGAGAGGGUGAUCGGCCACACUGGGACUGAGACACGGGCCCAGACUCCUACGGGAGGCAGCAGUAGGGAAUCUUCCGCAAUGGACGAAAGUCUGACGGAGCAACGCCGCGUGAACGAUGAAGGCUUUCGGGUCGUAAAGUUCUGUUGUUAGGGAAGAACAAGUAUCGGAGUAACUGCCGGUACCGUUGACGGUACCUAACCAGAAAGCCACGGCUAACUACGUGCCA
rnacentral:rRNA from 1 species